AUUGAACGCUGGCGGCAGGCCUAACACAUGCAAGUCGAACGAGUGCCGGACGGGUGAGUAAUGUCUGGGAAACUGCCUGAUGGAGGGGGAUAACUACUGGAAACGGUAGAUAAUACCGCAUACCAUCAGAUGUGCCCAGAUGGGAUUAGCUAGUUGGUGGGCUAACGGCUCACAAAGGCGACGAUCCCUAGCUGGUCUGAGAGGAUGACCAGCCACACUGGAACUGAGUCUCGGUCCAUACUCCUACGCGAGACAUCAGUGGAGAAUAUUGCACAAUGGGCGCAAGCCUGAUGCAGCCAUGCCGCGUGUAUGGAGAGGGCCUUCGGGUUGUAAAGUACUUACAGCGGGGCGGCGUUACCCGCAGAAGAAGCACCGACUAACUCCGUGCCAGCAGGCGCGGUAAUAC
rnacentral:rRNA from 1 species